CAUCUCCUUAAUCGGAGAGUUCCCUUCGGGGACAUUGGUGACAGGUGGUGCAUGGUUGUCGUCAGCUCGUGUCGUGAGCUGUUGGGUUAAGUCCCGCAACGAGCGCAACCCUUGUCUUUAGUUGCCAGCAUUAAGUUGGGCACUCUAGAGAGACUGCCAGGGAUAACCUGGAGGAAGGUGGGGAUGACGUCAAAUCAUCAUGCCCC
rnacentral:rRNA from 1 species